GUUAUACUCCGUCCGCCUGGAAAAACUUGUCUCAAACUUGUUUCUCAAAUGGAUGUAUCUAAUACUAACUUGAUGCUAGAUACAUCCAUAUGAGGGACAAGUUUUUUCGAACGGAGGAAGUGUUAG
rnacentral:pre_miRNA from 1 species